rnacentral:rRNA from 1 species
GGAGGAAAGCAGGGGAUCGUAAGACCUGGCGUUAAUGGAGCGGCCGAUAUCUGAUUAGCUAGUUGGUGAGGUAAAGGCUCACCAAGGCGACGAUCAGUAGCUGGUCUGAGAGGACGACCAGCCACACUGGAACUGAGACACGGUCCAGACUCCUACGGGAGGCAGCAGUGGGGAAUUUUGGACAAUGGGCGAAAGCCUGAUCCAGCCAUUCCGCGUGAGUGAAGAAGGCCUUCGGGUUGUAAAGCUCUUUCGCAAGGGAAGAAAACUUACCCUCUAACAUAGGGUGAGGUUGACGGUACCUUGAUAAGAAGCACCGGCUAACUACGUGCCAGCAGCCGCGGUAAUACGUAGGGUGCGAGCGUUAAUCGGAAUUACUGGGCGUAAAGCGUGCGCAGGCUGUUUUGUAAGUCAGAUGUGAAAUCCCUGGGCUCAACCUAGGAACUGCGUUUGAAACUACAAGGCUAG